GUAGGGUGCGAGCGUUAAUCGGAAUUACUGGGCGUAAAGCGUGCGCAGGCGGUUUGCUAAGACCGAUGUGAAAUCCCCGGGCUUAACCUGGGAACUGCAUUGGUGACUGGCAGGCUAGAGUAUGGCAGAGGGGGGUAGAAUUCCACGUGUAGCAGUGAAAUGCGUAGAGAUGUGGAGGAAUACCGAUGGCGAAGGCAGCCCCCUGGGCCAAUACUGACGCUCAUGCACGAAAGCGUGGGGAGCAAACAGGAUUAGAUACCCUGGUAGUCCACGCCCUAAACGAUGUCAACUAGUUGUUGGGGAUUCAUUUCCUUAGUAACGUAGCUAACGCGUGAAGUUGACCGCCUGGGGAGUACGGUCGCAAGAUUA
rnacentral:rRNA from 1 species